AGAGUUUGAUCUUGGCUCAGGACGAACGCUGGCGGCGUGCCUAACACAUGCAAGUCGAGCGAGGGAUUUAUGACGGAUUCCUUCGGGAUGAAGACAUAAAUCACCUAGCGGCGGACGGGUGAGUAACGCGUGAGGAACCUACCUCCUACAAGGGGAUAGCCUCGGGAAACUGGGAUUAAUACCCUAUGACACUUAAGGGUCGCAUGAUCUUUAGGUUAAAGCGAUAUAGCGGUAGGAGAUGGCCUCGCGUCCCAUUAGCUAGUUGGUGAGGUAACGGCUCACCAAGGCGACGAUGGGUAGCCGGCCUGAGAGGGUGAACGGCCACACUGGAACUGAGACACGGUCCAGACUCCUACGGGAGGCAGCAGUGGGGAAUAUUGCACAAUGGGCGAAAGCCUGAUGCAGCGACGCCGCGUGAGCGAAGAAGGCCUUCGGGUCGUAAAGCUCUGUCCUAUGGGACGAUAAUGACGGUACCAUAGGAGGAAGCCCCCGGCUAACUACGUGCCAGCAGCCGCGGUAAUACGUAGGGGGCGAGCGUUGUCCGGAAUUACUGGGCGUAAAGGGUACGUAGGCGGCUAGGUAAGUCAGAUGUGAAAUCCAUGGGCUCAACCCAUGUAAGCAUUUGAAACUGCUUAGCUUGAGUUAAGGAGAGGAAAGUGGAAUUCCUGGUGUAGCGGUGAAAUGCGUAGAUAUCAGGAGGAAUACCAGUGGCGAAGGCGACUUUCUGGCCUUAAACUGACGCUGAGGUACGAAAGCGUGGGGAGCAAACAGGAUUAGAUACCCUGCUAGUCCACGCCGUAAACGAUGAGUGCUAGGUGUCGGGGGUUUAACCUUCGGUGCCGCAGUUAACACAUUAAGCACUCCGCCUGGGGAGUACGUUCGCAAGAUGAAACUAAAACGAAUUGACGGA
rnacentral:rRNA from 1 species